GCUCAAGCUGUUGGACUCGCCGAGGCAGUAAAAGUACCAUAUCCUGUGUUUGAAUCAAACUCCAAUUUCCUGUAUAUAGAAGGCUUGCCAGACAGGAUUCCCUUCCGAAGCCCUACCUGGUUUGGAAUUCCAUGACUUGAAAGGAUCCUUCGUGGGAGUAAUAAAAUCAAGUUUGUUGUUAAAAAGAGACCUGAAGUAGUUAUUUUCUACUUGCCUCCUGGAAUGGCUAACAAAAUAAACACUAAAGGUAGAAGAUUACCUGCUUUGCAGUCCCCAAAAAAACCAUGAAGCCCUGAGAGUAAUGAAAAGCUUCCUGACAUUGAGGUCACUGUGGAAGGUAAGGGCCAGUCC
rnacentral:lncRNA from 1 species